rnacentral:rRNA from 1 species
UGAGGAAUAUUGGGCAAUGCCCGCAAGGGUGACCCAGCAACGCCGCGUGGAGGAUGAAUGUCGUAAGAUUGUAUACUCCUGUUAGAGGGGAAGAAUAGUACCGGUUGGACCGGUAUAUGACUGUACCCUCAGAGAAAGCCCCGGCUAACUACGUGCCAGCAGCCGCGGUAAUACGUAGGGGGCAAGCGUUGUCCGGAUUUACUGGGUGUAAAGGGCGCGCAGGCGGGAUAAAAAGUCAGUGGUGAAAUCCUACAGCUUAACUGUAGAACUGCCUUUGAUACUUUUAUUCUUGAGUUCGGGAGAGAGAGACGGAAUUCCAGGUGUAGUGGUGAAAUACGUAGAUAUCUGGAAGAACACCAGUUGCGAAGGCGGUCUCUUGAUCCGACACUGACGCUGAGGCGCGAAAGCGUGGGGAGCAAACA